rnacentral:rRNA from 1 species
CCUACGGGAGGCAGCAGUGAGGAAUAUUGGUCAAUGGGCGUAAGCCUGAACCAGCCAAGUCGCGUGAGGGAUGAAGGUUCUAUGGAUCGUAAACCUCUUUUAUAAGGGAAUAAAGUGUGGGACGUGUCCUAUUUUGUAUGUACCUUAUGAAUAAGGAUCGGCUAACUCUGUGCCAGCAGCCGCGGUAAUACGGAGGAUCCGAGCGUUAUCCGGAUUUAGUGGGUUUAGAGGGUGCGUAGGCGGCCUUUUAAGUCAGCGGUGAAAGUCUGUGGCUCAACCCUAGAAUUGCCGUUGAAACUGGGGGGCUUGAGUAUGUGUGAGGCAGGCGGAAUGCGUGGUGUAGCGGUGAAAUGCUUAGAUAUCAGGCAGAACCCCGAUUGCGAAGGCAGCCUGCCGAGCCAUGACUGACGCUGAUGCACGAAAGCGUGGGGAUCAAACAGGAUUAGAUACCCGGGUAGUC